UUGUGGAAACGGCUGCCGCAGGGUUGGCGGACUUGGGAAGGAGCGAAGAUGGCGGAGUGAGGCGUGCGGGUGGGAGCCGGCCGUUGGGCCGGGGGCGGGAAGGCCCCCGGAGUGUCCAGUGCUUCUCCUGGUCGGUGCGAGGAAGAACAUUUUCUUUGGCUUCCAGGUGCUUUUAUAUUCAUCUUGAGAAGAAAGCAAAAAUCAGAACUCAGGAUUUGGCAAGUAUUCUGUGUUGUCUCCUGGAGUAGGUAGUCUUUUUAUCCAGCCACUUUCCCUAUUCCUGAAAUGUGGAUAUCUCUUCUCUACAUAUUUUACCUCCAUGAUUUGGAUCGGAAAAGGCUGCUUUUCUUUUUGUUCCACUUCUCAGAUUCAACAUUGAGAAGCUCCUAGGAUGCAGUUGUCUUGCCAACUUCUCCAGGAAGAAAGAAGCAACUGACAUGCAUGUUCUGCUUUUUGCUUAAUUAUAAAGAAGUUAUUUUGGAAGCUGAGGCUGAUGUUUAAUUUGAAACAGGUGCUUAGAUGUUGGUGUUUGUGAAUUCUUUACCUUUUGUUUCAAACAAGAAGACUAAAUAAAUAGCAAGUAUGGAUGACAUCAGGUUUUUUUUUUUUUAAAUGUCUUCCAGUUUCAGCCACUGUCAUAAGCACAGUUGAAUCUGCAAGGAGUAAAUUCCAAAUACGUGUUCUAAUAUGAAAUGAAAGAUAUGCUUAAAAACUACAGAUAUUAAAUAUCUAAAUCCUGACUCAUCCUUUGAAGUACACUUGCUGGAAAAGAACAAAGAUCCAAUUUUGCAAUAAAACCUUUGAUGUGAUAAAGAAGCAUGAAGACAAGAGGAUGCAAGGUUAACAGAGUCUCUGUAAAAUACACAUCUUUACAUGUGUAAAUCUACAGUUUGGAUGUGAAGAGGGAUUUUUCUCCUAGAGCAGGAAGCUUUUGUUGACUUCUGUCUUUGGACAUUUCGUAUUUUUAAAUGAUUUUUCAUUUUUCUAAGGAAAGACCACAUUGUACAUUUGCUAACCCUAUGAAUGCAUGCUUGAGUUUACUGAAAGGUUGGAAAAGGAAACAAAACAGCUUCAAGUCCACUGGUGGAACCCUUUUCACCUCCCUCAGAUGAGAGGCUCCUGUAUUGCAAAUUACUUCAUUCUUUUUUGUGGACUCUUAACAUAGCACUUGAGACUUGGUUUUCCAUGCUGCUAAGGCAGGAACAAGUGGCUUAAGUGGUUUUUCUGUUCAGAAGAUAUGGCAGAUCCUCUAGUAUGACCUGCCUUCAACUUUGGGCAUGAAGGAAUGGGGAAAACAAAAGAGUUUGCAGAUAAUUCCUUUCUCCUGCGAAAAGGAAGCAAAAAUGCUUUAUGCAGCUCCAUCUAACUUUAUGGCAUCUUACAUUCUGUAGCUCCAGUUUUCUAAAAACAUAAAUAACUUUGUUCCUUUGAUCCAAGAUGGGUAUUCAGAUGUUUGGUUUAUUUUUUUAGGUGAGGUGUAAUGUUAGGCUGUAAAGGCUGGGACUCAGGUAACUUUCCCUGGUUGUAACCAAACACUUCAGUAGCAAUGUUCCCAAAUUUGUGGUUGAUUUAGAAGAAAUUCGGGGUCUGGAAAAAAACUCAAACAAAAAUAGUUCAACAAAAAUACGGAUCUUUCUUCUUCUCCUUAAAACUUACACCAUGUGAUGAACAGAUUAUAAUGUAAAGCUAUUCUUGCUUCCAAAUCUACAGAGGACCACUGUAUGAAUUGUCAGGUCUUUAUAUAAGAAGAAGGAAGCUAUGAGUCUUUGUGAGAAAGAAUUUGAAACUUCUUAGAUGCAAUUAAGAACAAAUUGUCUUAGAUCAUAUCUGUGAUUUAGGAAAUUUGCCUAGGGUCAUACAUGCUGUGAUGCUAAAAACUUAGGGCAGAUUUACCAAAAUUUAGCAGUGAGAGAAAUGGCCAAAAAUGGGAAUUGUUGAGCACUCUUAACGAUUAGUUAAAUUGGUCAACCUCUUUGAAUUGACAUAAGAAAGCUUUUUUGUAAAAUAAUUCCACAAUAUAGAUAAAAUAUAAUUUCCUUUGAGGGCAAAUACUGAGUGGUAAAACAUAGAAGUAACUUUGGAUAAAGGUAACUUAAAUGUUUCUCUAAGUAACUUCUCAGCCAACUUCCUGAUAUUUUCUUUAACUAUUUUGGAAUUGUUAAAGACAGAACUGAGUUCCAUUGGUAUGCUGAGAAUUUAUAUCUUUAGUUGUCUGUUAUCCAUCUUCCCCAUGUCCUUUUUGCAGUGUUUUGGGUAGGACCAUUUGGCAGGGGAUAGGGACUUUAUACCAUCAGCACCAGUGAAACCAUCUCUGGCCCAUUUGUUUGAGUAUGUAUCAGACUCAUCUUCUCCAGUUGCUUUGUAUUUAUUUCAUAGUUAAGGAACCACUGUUGAAUGCUCUCGUUCAAGUUGUUCUUUGAAUCUUUAAUGGUUGUCACCAGAUAGUAUCUAACAAAAUGGGUCUUUGCCAGUGUACUAGCCCAGCGUUUGCUUAAUAUGCCUACAUUUUUCCCCCUGGGCUAUUUUGUCCCCUUCUUAAUGGGAAAAGCUGUAAUUUUAGGCAGGACUACACCUUGAUCAGUAGCUGUGCCUACUUCCUUCUCUGCUCAUCAUGUCAGCUGGCAGUUUUUCUUUUAAAAAGUUAAACAAAAACGGGGUAUGUGCAAUAGAAAUAUAUAUAUGUAUAUUUUAAUACUUGUGGACAAAUGUUACAAGUUGUUUAAGAACAACAAAAUCACCAAUGUCUUCCAUUUUGAGAUGUGUAUAGUUUUGUAAGCAUUAGUGCUUGGUAGCAUAUUGUAGUGCCAUGUUAGGGGUUAGUGCAUGAGCCUAGUAAUAAUUUAAACUUCAGGAUGAAUAUUGAUAAUAACCAGUAGUGUAACAUGAGUGGAAAGUCGAGACCUUUUCUUUUUUCAUAAAUAUCGGAAUCAUGAUAUUCUCCCUGGGGAAAGGAGAUUAAGGCCAAAAACUCAUUUUUGAAUAGAACUGUGGGAUUACAGUGUGAAAUACUGUGUUUGAGGAUAUUUAAGCUUUUGCUGAGGUAGCUGGAAACCAGCUGCCUUUGUGUCUUAUGAAACCUCAAAUCAAAAUGAGGCCCCAUUUCAUGAUUCUGCUUUGUUCUCUUAGUUUGAGAUGAGAUUGUUCUUAUGCUGUUUUCACACAGUGUGUCUUGUAGGUUUAUUAUUUAAUCCACUCCUUUGCAUCAAGAAAUUAUUUUCUUAUUUUGCAUGUCUUACUGAAAUGCUAUGUUAGUCAAGUGCUUUUCUAAUCUGCAGACCAUUUACAUUUCCUGUCUGUGGCAUGCUAAUUGUUAUGGAAGAACACUGGUCAGUAGUUCAGUGUCCUACAUUAAUUUGUCACAGGCUUUUCCUAUUUCACAGUCUGAAUUGCGUGUUGAUGGCAUUCCAGACCUUUUCACAAGAAUUGGAGUGUAACUAGAUGGAGCCUAAGCAGGUUGCCAUGUAAUAACUAUCUCUUUUGCUUGGUUAUAGUAAGCCACCUCAGACAGCUUUCACUUUUUUCUGCUUGUAAAAAUAAAUGAUUUUGUUCUGAAAGCAUAAGAUAGCUUUCUGUGGAAAAGAAACUCCUACCCCUAAAAGCUGCCUUGAGAACUUGGAAAGGGCAGUUUUUGGAGGUGAUUUUUAAGUCUCAGUAUUAGGAGAGUUCAGGAUUUUUUGACACAGAUUUUACAGUUACCAUGAUAUGUAAUGCAAAAGGAAUGUGGUGUGUCUCCAGUACACAAGCAAGCUUAAACAAAUAGACUCUGUAGCAGCAGAUAUCCAGGGACCCAGGUUUAGAUUCUCAGAGUGUACUUUUUAAAGCAGUUGUACUCUUGGCUCUAGUAGUUUAGUGCCUGGGAGAAUCUAUUUCCAAAAAGCAUUUAAAUAUUUUUAAAAAUACCUCUGAAAAGGUAAUGAAUGAAUGCAAAAUAGCACAGUACAUAGGAAAGGAUAUUUCCUAUUGCAAAAAAUAAAUAAAAGCCAUAAAACGAAUAAUAAUUUUCAAGAGGUAGAAUUUUUGUAGCAAUAACAGUUUUGCAUGUAUAGUAAAUUGUAUUAGCAAAGUUGUACAAUAGAAUAAAUAUUACUACUUGAGUUGGUGAAGCUCUGGUGAUGAACAGAGUUGCACCAAAGGAAGAUGUUUUAGGCAAAGAACAUAUAAAAGGUACUUUAAAAGCUGAAUGUAUAUGAAUAAAUCAUGUGUGAGAAAUAGCAACUUUUGUGUAGGUGUAAAGGUUAGAGACCCUGUUUGUUUCCUAAAGCAGAGGGGUAGAGCCAAUGAAUGAAAUUUUUCUAGUGGUUAACCAGGAAACAAAUGUACUCCUACCGAUGUAGCCCCACUGAAGCCAUCAGGUGGGGAUUUUGCUUCUGAUGUUCUUUUCAGCAACAGGCAUUUAUAGAAUAGGCGACUUUGUGCUCUGUCACCUUUUCUUUUCUCCUUUCAUUCUCUGGGUGCAUUUUAAGAAUGGAAAAGUGUGUGUGUGUGUGUGUGUGUGUUUGGGUUAAAAACAAACCAAGAACUUGGAUAGCUGGCUUUUCCUUAUGCCUCUGGUUAGUUUAGGGGAGUUAGAAUUUAAAGAUGUAAAGCAAAGCAUUGAAGGGAAUAGCCAAAGACAGUAUGUUGGUUUUAUAAACCUUGUCUGAUGUACAUGUGUUGAGGACUUUGGCAUGUGACUCUUUAAUAAGAGCCCAGCAAACUAGUUUCUUGAUCUGAGGGAUCUCACACCUCACAUCAGGAUAUAAUAGAGGAAUGGAAGCUGACUUCUUACUCCCUUUUACCUUGUGUUCAUUUUGGCCAUUUAGCACCUUGAAGGUCCCUGAAAAGAUUGGGUCUCUGUUCCUUUGUUUUCCCAGGGGAAAAAACUAAAAGUGGAGCGGAUUUAAGAAAAUAGUGCCUCUUGAAUAUUUCUUAUAUGGCAACUCCAGAGGAUAGGGAGAAGGCUAUUAUAUUAAAUGGAUUAUAGCUCCUCUUUAAAUGUCCUACGCCGUCAUUUGGUGCUAGAGACAUUGGAAUAACCAAGCAAUAUUUAGUCAUCUGCACGAUCAUGAGGACACCGCUGUGUAUUAUAGUGAUGUCAACAAUUUAGUUACUUAAAGACUAAUAACAGCCACGUUAAUAGUUGUAAAUGCUAAAAUGUGCUACAAGUUUUUGUAGUCUCUAGGUAUGCGGUUAUUACUUUUCAAUGUUGUGGUCUCAUGUUUACUCUUUGUGUACCUGUGAUAUGCAAAAUAUGAAGAGACCCUUGGCCUCCAGGAGUUUACAUUCUCAUGGUGCUGCUGGUGCAAGCAAAUUGCUUCUAGUUUAUUCAGAACAUUGCUUGGCUAUUAACCAUACCCUAUUUGGAAGAAUUCCUUGGCUGAUAGUUUUCAAAGUACAAAUCUAUGCUAAAUUUCAGGGCAUUGAUUUUGAGUUUACAUUAUAUCAGCUCUGCUGUUCAUAAACUCCUUUUCCCCAGGGGGCUGUGCAGAUAAAGUUCAUUAAUGUGAAUCAAACCAUUCUGCCUAAGAGCAUCUUCACCAUCUCUAUACACGUAUGCUCUUCUAUGCUACAGCUGUCAAUAAAUGGCCAAGAAAACUUAACUGCUCCAAAAGACUGUACAUCUUUCAAUUCUCUUUCUUUUCCCAGAGUUUUCACAUCAUUCUCUACCCAAAAGGGCCAGGAUUCGCAAUUAAGCCUUUUGUAACUAAGUAGUGGUCCUGAUUUUCACCUUUUUGUGUGUGACUUUGUACCUCUAUUCUGAAGCAGCAUUGUGAUGUGGAGCACCUGCUCUGCCUGCAUUUCUAAGCAAUCACUUUAUUAACCCACAUUUUCAGUUGGAACUGCAUGCAUCCUUGUUAUUUCCCCUAAUUCCUCUGAAUCAGGGGGUCUUUUCUGCAUGUUUAUUAAAACUGGGUCUGAAUGAAAGUGCAAGAAAUAGUGGCAGGCCCAGAAUUCUGAUUUUAGAGUACUAAUAUUCUAAUGCAUGAUUGAAAAUGUCCAGUGUUAUGUGGUGGCUAGUAGAUAGAUAUUAUAUAUGCAUUUAUUAAUGAAGCAAUAGAGACUUAAACCAGUAGCCUGAAUUUACUUUUUGGAUUAUUAGUUUUCAUUUUCUAAUUAAAGAUUAUCUUAACUUCCAUUGAAAAUGGGAGCUAGAAGAUAAACAGGGGCAACCACAAGACAUUCAAACUGUCAGGAAUAGAGAGCAUGACAGUGCUCACCCUCUAACCUCUUGCCUGGUUCCCUUAGUCCCCAAGCAUGUUUAAAAACAAAACAAAGGCACAAACUAAGCAUGUUGAAUAAAUAAGCUGCUAUGGCUAUAAUAAUCAGAAAGGUGCAGAGUUUCAGAAAGGGUAGGAAAGUAGGGAAUUGCCAGUGUAGAGUAUAUAAAAUGAAAGAAUGGGGUUUGUCUGAGAAAAUUUAUGUGGCUUAAGUUAGGAUAUUUUAAAACUAGUAUCUUGGAAGUGAAUGGAAGCAAUAUGCCCGUAUUUCAGAUGUUGCAGGAUUUUCAGAUAACCAGCCAACUCUUCUGGAUGCUACUGGUACCGACCAGCCAUAAAGGUUCCCUGCAGCCAAGGAGACUGCUCCAUUUUGUGGAAACAGUGCUAAAAGUAUUGACAAAUCUGUGGUUUGGGUUCUUUUUUGUUACUGUAUUACAUAAAUGUUUUGUUUUUAAAAUUUUAUAGCCAGAGCUUUAGCCAUUUUAUUUUGCUCAGACUGCAUAAUUUAUUGCCUAAAGCUUCUGAUGCCAGGUAAACAGGAGCAGGUUUUCCCACUUUUGGAGAAAAAAAGAACACUUGCCAUAUAUUUCCUUACUUGAUGAAGAAAAUAGAUCAGUUUAUUGUGGUAGCUUAAAAUUUUUGAGAAGAUUCCUGACUUUGAAAUAAACCCUGUUAAGUGCAAAUGAUCAUGACAAGUAAUAAUACAAAUGGAAUUCAUAGCUGAGUGGCAUAAACAGGAGAGAAUUCAGAGUUAGACUAUAUGAUUCUCAUAGGCCCCUCCGAGGUUUCAUGUUCUAUGAUUGAAAAUUAAUUUUUCUUAAGUCAUUUUAACCUGUUUGCUCUGGGAUUUCACUCCAAAUGCCUCUGGGAAUGUUUAAGUGUAAGUGGUAACUUUCCAGGAGUUCAGAACUGAAUUAAACUUACAAUCAUUGCAGUGUUUAGUCUUCACUUAAGUACAGGAAGUGAGAUAUCAUUUCCCAUUUGUAAAUUUUCUCCUUGCCACUUACUGAUUACAUCUGCCAACCAAUGAAACCAGUAAAGAUACAAGGAAGGAGUUUCUCACAACUGUUCCCAUUAUUCCACAAAGGCACAUAGAUAAAAAACCAGGUGUCACAGAUUUCUCUAGGAACGUUUACUCCUAAACCUCCAUUAGAAUCAAAAUAGAUACCGGAAGGUUACUAACAAUUUUCAAAAGGUUUUGUCUCCCUUGGUGAUAGUAUGCCAUGCCAUCAAUUUUCCUCCCAGAGAUAAGAACAGUAUUCUGGCAAUACAUUAUCAUCAGUCCUUAAAUAACAGUAAUAGUCUUGGCACUUACCUUAAACCCGCCCAUCACAGUCAUAUUAUAUUAGAGUAUCAUUAACAUAUUUUGAUUUACUCUCCUAUAAGUACGGUUGUUGCUCACUGUUUUUACUUGCUGUUCUGUAUUUUCUUCAUUGCACCAUUAGUAUAUAAUGUUAAAAAGAAUUUCAUUGAAUAUUUAUAAAGUAUUACAAAAGGCAGCUUUUUAAUCUAUGCAUCCUUGGGAUUUCAGAAAUUUUAUUCUUUGAUGUAAAAGGGAACUGCUAUAUUGAGUUGGAAACUCUGCACCUGUGUGUGUGUGUGUGUGUGUGUGUGUGUGUAUGUAUAUAUAUUUUGGCAAUAAAGCAGCAUGGGCUGAGAAUGCACUGAAA